GGCACAUCUGACUGGAACAGGCACAAAAACAGCAGCACCAAGUGGUGGAUUCAUUUCAGCGCUGACUGGGAUCCACAGGCAUCAACAGAAGUCCCAGGUACAGGUUCAGCUGCAGACAUGUCAACGAGGCCAGGUACUGCUGAUGAUACACGCAUGAUGAACGCAGACAGGAUUUGCUUGAUGAUCUGUGCUGCUGGUCUUGUUUUUAGUCAAAAUCCUCAACUCAGUUGGCUUCUGUAUCAGCAAACUGUUGACAUUCUCCUAAUCAGAAAAGUCAAAGCAAGGACAUCACUUCCUGUGCCUCAGUGUGAGGCGGCAGCUUGCUGUUGGACAUGUUUCAGUCUUAGCUUGUGUUUGCUGGAAACUAGAUUAUUACACAACCCACUGCUGUGAUACAUUAUUCAAUCUGUUUUCACCUGGAAGGGUGGACCAUGUUCUCUGGGACUCUUGUGGUGGUGGUGCUGGUCCUCCUUCUGUGUAGGCGGGUCCUGUGGCAUGGACUAUGCAUCUUCAUUUACGAGAAAUGGCUCAAGAGACCUGCAAGGACCAGAGGAGAAAAACGCAGACUGCCUGGAGAAGCGACGAACGGAUGACACAUCUGAGCUCUCUGCGUGUCAUCCUUUGCUGUAUUGUUUCCCUGUGAAUGCCCACAAAAAGACAUGUAACAAUCUGGACCCCACUUUAUUAUUAAAUGUAUCAAUGUGAAAUGCGA